UACUAACUCAUGAACAAAAUACACAGCUGUAACAACUAUGAAAAUGUAAACAACAAAGAUCGGGCCCCGGUUCCGGACCCAGCGUACCCGCCCUACCAUGAGACGAUCACCUCCACUCGUCUCCCUCAUUUUGGCCACUAGAUGGCCUAUAUUAGCCCGUGUCGGCCAUAAUGCCCACUCUCCCCAGCAAUAUUAUUUUAGCCGUACAUGAUUUCUUUCAAUAGCUGUUUAGGAUCUCAUGCAAGCGGAUAAUUCAUUAACUUCACAGAAUUAAUAUUUUUUUAUUUUUUUUUUUACAACACUGAAUGGGACAGGCGACGGAACACUACAAGGAUAUUGCGAGUCGCCGUAAAAGAAACGCGCAAUGAGGCACUUUAGAGGCAAUCGUUGCCCCGAUUUAGGAACAAUGGCCCGCACAAUUACUUAAAACUGGAGCUCUCUGGGGGUGGUAAGGGGCGAUAUAAAUGCGUAAAUUCAAAUUAGGCGCAGAUGCAUCACCGUUGGAGUUUUCCUCACCGUUCGCACUCUAAAGUGAAGCUCGGCGUAAGUGCCUAUGGAGUGCAAUUAGGAGUCUUCUUCUGACUCUGCCAGGGGCUCGAACGAGGAUGGG